AUCCAGCUGACGAGUCCCGAAUAGGACAAAACGCAUGUCAAACUGGAU
rnacentral:hammerhead_ribozyme from 1 species